AGAAUGCUGGAUUUAACUCUUUUCAAAAAGAAAGAGUCAAGUCUUCUACUUUAAUGGAGGAAAAGACUAGUCAUCAUAUUGAGUCACCUGAAGUUGGUUUCAGAGAUACUGUCCAGAAUAAAAUUUUCAGUCACUGGGAGUGAAAUUGUAUUGCAACCAUAAUGCUAAUCUUAUAUGACCUACAUCUCUCACCCGGAGAAUUCCGAAUGAAGCUUUAAUACUUAAGAAUACUUUUAGCUGCAUGGCCUAUUUGUUUUCCGUAGGAGGUGGGUAUUUAAUCUGUCAGACAUUUGUAAAACACCAAAAGCAGUAUGGCCUUUGACCUGGGUCACUAAAAUUGCACCCCAUGCAAGUGAAUUUUUGAUUUCACCCAGCA
rnacentral:lncRNA from 1 species